rnacentral:rRNA from 1 species
GAUGAACGCUGGCGGCGUGCCUAAUACAUGCGAGUCGAGCGAACAGACGAGGAGCUUGCUCCUCUGACGUUAGCGGCGGACGGGUGAGUAACACGUGGAUAACCUACCUAUAAGACUGGGAUAACUUCGGGAAACCGGAGCUAAUACCGGAUAAUAUAUUGAACCGCAUGGUUCAAUAGUGAAAGACGGUUUUGCUGUCACUUAUAGAUGGAUCCGCGCCGCAUUAGCUAGUUGGUAAGGUAACGGCUUACCCAGGCAACGAUGCGUAGCCGACCUGAGAGGGUGAUCGGCCACACUGGAACUGAGACACGGUCCAGACUCCUACGGGAGGCAGCAGUAGGGAAUCUUCCGCAAUGGGCGAAAGCCUGACGGAGCAACGCCGCGUGAGUGAUGAAGGUCUUCGGAUCGUAAAACUCUGUUAUUAGGGAAGAACAAAUGUGUAAGUAACUAUGCACGUCUUGACGGUACCUAAUCAGAAAGCCACGGCUAACUACGUG